rnacentral:rRNA from 1 species
AGUGAACGCUGGCGGUAUGCCUAACACAUGCAAGUCGAACGGCAGCACAGUAAGAGCUUGCUCUUACGGGUGGCGAGUGGCGGACGGGUGAGGAAUACAUCGGAAUCUACUUUUUCGUGGGGGAUAACGUAGGGAAACUUACGCUAAUACCGCAUACGACCUACGGGUGAAAGCAGGGGAUCUUCGGACCUUUCGCGAUUGAAUGAGCCGAUGUCGGAUUAGCUAGUUGGCGGGGUAAAGGCCCACCAAGGCGACGAUCCGUAGCUGGUCUGAGAGGAUGAUCAGCCACACUGGAACUGAGACACGGUCCAGACUCCUACGGGAGGCAGCAGUGGGGAAUAUUGGGCAAUGGGCGCAAGCCUGAUCCAGCCAUACCGCGUGGGUGAAGAAGGCCUUCGGGUUGUAAAGCCCUUUUGUUGGGAAAGAAAAGCAGCAGGUUAAUACCCCGCUGUUCUGACGGUACCCAAAGAAUAAGCACCGGCUAACUUCGUG